rnacentral:rRNA from 1 species
UACGAAGGGGGCUAGCGUUGUUCGGAAUUACUGGGCGUAAAGCGUGCGCAGGCGGCUUCUCAAGUCAGGGGUGAAAGCCCAGAGCUCAACUCUGGAAUUGCCUUUGAGACUGAGUGGCUUGAGUACGAGAGAGGUGAGUGGAAUUCCCAGUGUAGAGGUGAAAUUCGUAGAUAUUGGGAAGAACACCGGUGGCGAAGGCGGUUCUCUGGGCCUUACCUGACGCUGAGGAGCGAAAGCGUGGGGAGCGAACAGG